AACUUAGAUUGAAAAAAAUUACUUGACAGGCAAAGAGAGAAGUGAGAAUUGACAUUGACUCCUCCAAAAUAAGCAUGAAUAUGUCACUUAAUACAAAGUCAUACAUAGCAAACAUAAUACAGAAUUCUUAGCAUUACCGAACAAUAAUAAACAAAAAAAAUGCAUUCUAGAAGACUAUAAAUGACCUUAACGAUUACAAUUCACCUAAAUUGCAGCUGAGGGAACAAAUGUGAUCAUGUAUAUGCUAAAAAUUCUUUAAGUUUAACAAAGAAUAAGUUUCAAUAAUAAGAAA